rnacentral:rRNA from 1 species
UACAGAGGGUGCAAGCGUUAAUCGGAAUUACUGGGCGUAAAGCGCACGUAGGUGGAUUAGAAAGUUGGAUGUGAAAGCCCUGGGCUUAACCUGGGAACUGCAUUCAAUACUACUAGUCUAGAGUACAGGAGAGGGAAGUGGAAUUUCUGGUGUAGUGGUGAAAUACGUAGAUAUCAGAAGGAACACCAAUGGCGAAGGCAACUUCCUGGACUGAUACUGACACUGAGGUGCGAAAGCGUGGGGAGCAAACAGG